rnacentral:rRNA from 1 species
GUAUCACUAAGCGGAGGAAAAGAAACUAACAAGGAUUCCCCUAGUAACGGCGAGUGAAGUGGGAAAAGCCCAAAUUGAAUCUUGUGAUAGUCACCUAUUACUAAGAAUUGUAGUUUAUAGAAGUAUAUUUACGUUCGUUAGCAGGAGGAAGUCCCCUGGAAAGGGGCGUCUUAGAGGGUGAGAACCCCGUUUCUUCUGCUGACUGUUCGGUUUGAUAUAUUUUCUUCGAGUCGGGUUGCUUGGGAAUGCAGCCCUAAAUGGGUGGUAAAUUCCAUCUAAAGCUAAAUAUUGGAACGAGACCGAUAGCGCACAAGUA